AUACCAUUAGAGGAUGCAAAGA
rnacentral:snRNA from 1 species